GAUGAGAACUUGAAAGCAAGCCUUGCCCCAGAGAACUGCAAAUGCCGAUUUAACCUCAAUACAGAAACUAGAAAGUUUCCACCAGCUCACUCUAAUUAUUUAACAUCCACCAGCAUCCCAGGAAUUGUGCUCCUUGCCUCCGUAAUUAGAGCGAUUAUGGUGGCCAGUUACGCAAAGCAUUUUGAAAUAUAGGAAUGUAAGUAUGAACAAGACUAUGGCAAAUUUUAUUAUAAUUUCAUGUGGUUCUUACUACCUGGCUCCAGAAAGAGGAAAAAGGUAGGUGUAAGGGUUUCUAUUUAUUAUUAUUACAUACUUUCCUUAUCUUAUGUGUUAUUGUUGUUGAGAUAUAAGCAGAAACUAUUUAUUGUGUAGGUCUUCCAAGAAAAUAUCUCAAAGAGUUGACUCAUCUGAUAAGCCUGACUUUUAUCUUUCUCCUCCCAUUACCACUUUUUUUCUGCCUGGAAUGUGGAUGCAAUGGAUGGAGCUCCAGCAGCCUUCUUGGACCAUGAGAUCUUAAAGAAAGAAGCUUGCAAAGUGGAACAGAAAGACUUCACGAGGCCUUCAUGGAGCUAAAUCCAGAUCCCUCAUUUCUUAUGUUAUUUUAAUAUGGAAAAAGAAAUGGUGUUCCAGAGACAAACAGCUUGAGUUUAAAUCCUGAGUCUGCUACCUCUUACACCAGUUGCUGGUAACCUUAGAUGCUGAAAUGAAGACUCCCCAAGGUU
rnacentral:lncRNA from 1 species